CUGUAGACUCGGGCCAAUGGGAGCGCCGAAUCCCACUGUAGACGACCAAUCGUCUGCUCGGCGGAAGUUGCGUCACCAAAACAACAACAUACGGCGGUACAGCGAAGAAGCCGGCAAGUCCGCUAUUCUUUAUGGAAACUAGCAUUUCUUUUAUGUUUACAUCUUGGUAUGGCGACACCGACGAUUCGGGUAGUUAAUCCAGAUGCCCCUGCACAUCGUCAGCAGGCGCUACUUAUGGCAACCAAAGAGGCACGUUACUCUCGGGUGAGAAGUACGGUCUUCCCCAAACCUCCACAGGAGCUGCUCAGCCAAGUCACUGCCUUGACUCACGCAGAGAAGCUUCUUCAAGCCGAGGGUAUCCACGCGCCUUUAAGUCAACAGUGCCUGGGAAAGCUGGUGGUGCCAUUUGAUCUUUACAAUUGAUCUUUUAAAAAACAUUACAGUCAGAAUCAAGUUCACUGAUUGAUUGUAGUGCUGUCUUUGUGUUUUACUGAUUGCUUGCAGUGUUGUCCUUGUGUUUCACCAUUUCAUUUAUUUUAAUAAAGUGUUUUGUAUUACAGUAA